rnacentral:rRNA from 1 species
CCCUUGGAUGUUCUGGGCUGCACGCGUGCUACACUGAUUAUUUCAACAAGUGUUUUAACUGGAGAGUUUGCGUAAUCCUGAAAUGUUAUCGUGAUGGGAGUAGAGUAUUGUAUUUGUUAAUCUUUAACGAGGAAUUCCUAGUAAGUGUAGGUUUAUAAGUUGUUCUGAUUACGUCCCUGCCCUUUGUACACACCGCCCGUCGCUCCUACCGAUUGAUUGAUCCGGUGAAUUACAUAGAAUUUUGCGUUUUACAUGACGGAAGACGAAGUGUUUUAAACCUUAUCAUUUAGAGGAAGGAGAAGUCGUAACA